AGGGCAGGUUUAGAUUAGGUAUUAGGAAGAAAUCUUUUCCUGGGUGGGUGGUGAGGCACUGGAACAGGUUGCCCAGAGAAAAUGUAGAUGCCCCAUCCCUGAAGGUCUUCAA